rnacentral:lncRNA from 1 species
UCACCUUCAUUUAUUUUUAUUUCCACCGAAUGGAAACUUGAGAAAGAAACAGAGAAACCGAGUGAAGGAGAGACCGACCAUGGGUGAAGGAGAAAACCGUAACUCCUUUUGAUAUUUGGGUUUCGAUUCCUUGAGAUUCGUAACUCCAAUAAAAAAAUCUAAUCCGAUAAAAGUGUUCGUAUUCUUCUCUUCUACACGUUGGCGCUAUUUUUAUCCGGUAGAAGUUGACGGUGACAUAGCUCCGCUUUCCCUUGAUUUCGGUCAAUUGAAGUUUUAGGAGGCACAGACGAUUCUUAACGUUUUCUUCUUCAGCAG